rnacentral:rRNA from 1 species
UAAAGAUUCAUCGCUGAUAGAUAGGCAUGCGUUCCAUUAGGCAGUUGGCGGGGUAACGGCCCACCAAACCGACGAUGGAUAGGGGUUCUGAGAGGAAGGUCCCCCACAUUGGUACUGAGACACGGACCAAACUCCUACGGGAGGCAGCAGUGAGGAAUAUUGGUCAAUGGGCGUAAGCCUGAACCAGCCAAGUCGCGUGAGGGAUGAAGGUUCUAUGGAUCGUAAACCUCUUUUAUAAGGGAAUAAAGUGCGGGACGUGUCCCGUUUUGUAUGUACCUUAUGAAUAAGGAUCGGCUAACUCCGUGCCAGCAGCCGCGGUAAUACGGAGGAUCCGAGCGUUAUCCGGAUUUAUUGGGUUUAAAGGGUGCGUAGGCGGCCUUUUAAGUCAGCGGUGAAAGUCUGUGGCUCAACCAUAGAAUUGCCGUUGAAACUGGGAGGCUUGAGUAUGUUUGAGGCAGGCGGAAUGCGUGGUGUAGCGGUGAAAUGCUUAGAUAUCACGCAGAACCCCGAUUGCGAAGGCAGCCUGCCAAGCCAUGACUGACGCUGAUGCACGAAAGCGUGGGGAUCAAACAGGAUUAGAUACCCUGGUAGUCCACGCAGUAAACGAUGAUCACUAGCUGUUUGCGAUACAG